rnacentral:rRNA from 1 species
UACGGAGGGGGCUAGCGUUGCUCGGAAUCACUGGGCGUAAAGGGCGCGUAGGCGGCCACCGCAAGUCGGUUGUGAAAUCUCUGGGCUUAACCCAGAAAGGUCAACCGAUACUGCGGGGCUAGAGUGCAGAAGGGGCAACUGGAAUUCUCGGUGUAGCGGUGAAAUGCGUAGAUAUCGAGAGGAACACCUGCGGCGAAGGCGGGUUGCUGGGCUGACACUGACGCUGAAGCGCGAAAGCUAGGGGAGCGAACGGG